UCUCAUUUUUUGUACCCAUUCCGUCUUCGUUACUUAAGUUACACAUUCACAGUGUCAUCACAUGAUGUGCUUUGUCCAAUGAAAGGCAUUCAGAACAGGUAUCUUCCUGUAAUGUAUCACCAAUGCAUUAGUCCACUUACCUCGAACUCAUCGUAUGUGAAUAAGAACUUUUUAAUUCAUAACGUCUUGUACGCUGAGUCAAUUUACACGAUGUGCUUAAGAUUUGUCCUUUUUUAUAUAAAAGUAAAACUCUCCUGUCACACACAUAUGAAAUAAAAAUAAAAGGUCCUUGCAAAGUGUUCGUUAACGAUAUUGUUGUUGAAAAUAUAAUUUUAGCUCCAUUAGUCGUGUCUGUUAAUAGGAAUCUACCAUUUGUAACAGCCAUCCAAUGUCCGUUACCGUGAAUAACUUCACAUAAAUGAUAAAUUGUGAACUAUUGUUUUGUAUAUGUUGCUCUUUAGCAACUACCGUGGUCCUAUGAAUUGUCCUUGUUGUCAUAACAAAAAAGAAAUUAUGUGAUAAACAGAUGAAUAUUAUUGACGAUAUAAAUGUUACAAUCAAUCAUAUUGGCUGAUUCAAAAAGCAAAUGUGCCCUCCAUAUCCAAUGUUGUUUUUGAGAAUAAAUGUUAUUCCAGCGUUUGAUGAAACUUUUAUAAAAGGUAUACAAUAAGAAUAAAGCACGUAAAACAGAAACGUUUUCUCUUUAAAAGAUUCUGAAUGGUGUAUGGCGCUCUUUAAGACUCGCUACAUGUGAAAAGAACAGACACUGAUGCAUCCAAAUGUAGCCAAC
rnacentral:lncRNA from 1 species